AGAGCACUCCUACGGGAGGCAGCAGUGGGGAAUAUUGCACAAUGGGCGCAAGCCUGAUGCAGCCAUGCCGCGUGUAUGAAGAAGGCCUUCGGGUUGUAAAGUACUUUCAGCAGUGAGGAAGGUGGAUAUGUUAAUAGCAUAUUCAUUUGACGUUUAGCUGCAGAAGAAGCACCGGCUAACUCCGUGCCAGCAGCCGCGGUAAUACGGAGGGUGCGAGCGUUAAUCGGAAUUACUGGGCGUAAAGCGCAUGCAGGUGGUUUGUUAAGUCAGAUGUGAAAGCCCGGGGCUCAACCUCGGAAUUGCAUUUUGAAACUGGCAAACUAGAGUACUGUAGAGGGGGUAGGAAUUUCAGGUGUAGCGGUGAAAUGCGUAGAGAUCUGAAGGAAUACCGGUGGCGAAGGCGGCCCCCUGGACCAGAUACUGACACUCAGAUGCGAAAGCGUGGGGAGCAAACAGGAUUAGAUACCCUCGGUAG
rnacentral:rRNA from 1 species